UUUACAGAUAUAUAUCUUCAUUAUCUGCUAAAACCUCGUAUAUGCAGUUAUAUGCGAAUCCUUUAGCUAUUAAUUAGUUAUCCAUCUCUUUAUAUACAGUAAAAAUUGCAUGAUGAUCAGGUCCUGUUUACUACUGCCAAGAUUGCAUAAUCUAUGACUACGUUCUGCAGAAUUUAUAUCCUGAACAACCUAUUCUCAAUGGUUAUCCAUAUAUCGGAUUAAGCUGAAUUUUUAACAUGUUGUUUCUGUAUAUGCAAGCAACUUACUGGGCUCCCAUAUUACUUCACAGAAGCACAAAUUAGAGAGUUGCUUGAAUCUUUUGGUCCCCUUCGUGGUUUCGAUCUGGUGAAGGACAUGGAAACAAGGAACUCUAAAGGAUACGCCUUCUGCGUUUACUAGGAUCUCUCAGUUACAGAUAUUGCUUGUGCUGCUCUAAAUGGGUGAUAAAACUCUUACUGUUAGACGAGCGAACCUGGGCACCGCUCAGCUAAAACCUGAGCAGGAAACGUCUUAAUACAGGCACAACUACAGGUCGCGUGGCAGAGGCAAUUGUUCCAAACCGGAGGUGGUCUAGGUGGUGGUAAUGGAGGUGGCAUUGCUACCAAGGUCGUAUGCCUGACAGAGGUGGUUACUGCAGAUGAGCUUAAAGAUGAUGAAGAGUAUGAAGAUAUUUUGGAAGAUAUGAGGGUAGAAGGUGGAAAAUUUGGUACAUUGAUGAAUAUUGUCAUCCCCCGUCCACAACCUAACGGUGAACCCUCUCUAGGACUUGGAAAGGUUAGUUUCAGUGUAAGGUAUUGUUAAAUGACACUCUUAGGUUGACUGUUACUUUGUAUUAUAAAAUUUUGACUGUUACUUUGUAUUGCUAAAUGACACUCUUCUCCUGUAGGCUUUCGUUGAGAACUACGACACUUCAUGUCUAAGCCAGUGCCUCUACGGUAUCAUCUACCACUAUGUUUCUCAUAAUCGGUGUUAGG